rnacentral:rRNA from 1 species
UACGAAGGGGGCUAGCGUUGUUCGGAUUUACUGGGCGUAAAGCGCACGUAGGCGGAUUGUUAAGUCAGGGGUGAAAUCCUGGAGCUCAACUCCAGAACUGCCUUUGAUACUGGCAAUCUUGAGCCCGGAAGAGGUGAGUGGAACUCCUAGUGUAGAGGUGGAAUUCGUAGAUAUUAGGAAGAACACCAGUGGCGAAGGCGGCUCACUGGUCCGGUACUGACGCUGAGGUGCGAAAGCGUGGGGAGCAAACAGG